UGCCGAAAGUCUAUAGCGGAAGUCACGUGGCGCGCUGCGCAAGCGCACAAGCGUACUUCAGCGAAGCAUUCCUGCAGCCUCCACUGCAGUAGUAUGCACACCGCGUGUGCGCACACUUAAGGGUAUAGAUUUCUUAAAGUGACAGUCACCUCCAUUAAUCCGCAUGAAC